AGUAAGGUAGUUUAAUGGUAAAAUUAAGGUUUAAUUAACCUUAGACAGGUGUUCGAUUCACCUCCUAGCUA